rnacentral:rRNA from 1 species
AUUGAACGCUGGCGGCAUGCCUUACACAUGCAAGUCGAACGGCAGCACGGGGCAACCUGGUGGCGAGUGGCGAACGGGUGAGUAAUGCAUCGGAACGUACCUUUCAGUGGGGGAUAACGUAGCGAAAGUUACGCUAAUACCGCAUAUUCUGUGAGCAGGAAAGCAGGGGAUCGCAAGACCUUGCGCUGAUUGAGCGGCCGAUGUCAGAUUAGCUAGUUGGUGAGGUAAAGGCGCACCAAGGCGACGAUCUGUGGCGGGUCUGAGAGGAUGAUCCGCCCCACUGGAACUGAGACACGGUCCGGACUCCUACGGGAGGCAGCAGUGGGGAAUUUUGGACAAUGGGGGCAACCCUGAUCCAGCCAUGCCGCGUGAGUGAAGAAGGCCUUCGGGUUGUAAAGCUCUUUCGGCCGGGAAGAAAUCGCACGGGCUAAUACCCUGUGUGGAUGACGGUACCGGAAUAAGAAGCACCGGCUAACUACGUGCCAGCCGCCGCGGUAAUAC